GCCCCCAUUGGCUGCAGUGUCCGCCUCCGCCCUUUCCACCGCCCCCAACCCGGAGGUCUCUCUCACGUCCCCCCCUUCCAAGUCUGCCCCCCUCCCCCAGUCAGAUCUGGGCUCCCUCUGCAGCUGCCGCUUCUGCCUUCCGCGCCCCCGGCCCAGCCAUGGUGACCCCCGGGCCCGUCACACAGGGAACCCAGAGACAGCAGUUUCCCGGAGAUGCUGGUUUGUUCUGAUCGAUGACCAAAUGGGCCUACAAAGACCUCACACCAAAGGAGCCCAAACCUCAUCCCAAUCCACCAUCAUCUGAGGGGAAUCUCAGGUCUCAGGAAAUCCACGGGGAGGGAGGAAGCCACGUGUUCUGUCCUACAGUCACUGAGAAAGCUCAUCUUCAGAGAAGAAAGAGCCACUUCUCAGGAACCUGACCGUUUCUACUAUGACUAUGACUCUGUUCGUAUUGUGGGACUUACUCUGGCUACUAUCAUGUUUGUUCU